CACCACGCGGCUCUGAGCGGGACGGAGCUCAGGCCCUGCCGGCGACGCGCUCGGUGACUUGGCCUCAGGGCUGAGACACAGAAGACGUGGGGCCAGAGGCAGGUGGCAGCAGGAGGUGCUGGAGCUGAAGAUAGAGGCAACAUCCUGCAUGGAUGCAAGGGAGCACUCCAAGGGUGAGAGAGCCCCACCACAAGGAUACAUACAGGACUGGCCUCUCCGCUUAUGGCUGAAGUCAAUGGGACUACUUACAGAGUAAAGGUCGUACUCUGUGCCGGAGCAUCUCACUGACAUUCCAGCUUACUCAUGGCAUUUCUAGAAAAGCCCUGUUAUCCUGAUGUAUCCUUUCUAAAAUAUCCUGCAAGGACAGUGGAGCUACGUCAUUCCCAGAAGUAAUUGGACCUUCAGUUUCAAAGAGUUUCAUCUAAUUGUAAAAUAAUAGAAGUCAUGGACCAGAUAUGAGGUCUUGCUAAGUAACUGGGACAGCCAUGCUUCUAAACUUGGGUCCAGUUGUAGUUGCAUAUCAGCACUAGUGGCUGUUUUAAUCAGUUCUAAUUUCUGUGGUGAGACUAAGAGGCCAAUAAAAAUGACACAUGCUUGGGCUGCUAUAUUAUCCAGAGCCUCCAGAAAA